rnacentral:lncRNA from 1 species
GUUGCUGAGGCUGGCCUUGAGGUUAUGAUCUUCCUAUCUCAACCUCUUGAGUCGCUGGGAUUACAGGUGUGCUCUACUGUGCCUAGCCAUGAUUUACUUUUCCCAGAAUGAUGGGCGUCUAGGGAGUCUCCCAUUUUUUGCCAUGAUAGAUAUUGGUACAAACAAUAUGAACUCUUCUGGUUGUGAGUUACGGGAACCAGUUGCAACAAGCACAAGCAUCACAGAAAUGUAAAGUCCCCCAGAAUUGGACUGAAGGAGGCAGGCCAGGAUGCCAGGCUAGCCAUGUUGCUUCCUGGGACUCCUGUACUGGCUACCCAGUGCUCUCUGCUGCCCACUGUGUGUAUGCUUUCCCCCAUGGUAUACAGCCACAGCAGGAGGAUCUCUUCCUGCCUCCCUGACACUAUCCUGCCCCUCUGCCUGAUUCGCUUUCGGGCUUCAGAGGGUGCUCCCAGAAGGGCUGUCAGAGGGGACAUUUCAGGCCUGGGGAUGCACUAGCACCCUUGAGGUGCACCUGUAUGCACCCUGAGAACAGGAGCCUGUAACAAGUGCCCCAGGCUCUUCCCCUUCUUGGCAUUUCUCUGUAGCUCCUAGUGUCUUCUUUCCUUCUGUGAACAGAGUGCACCUCCACCUGCCUCGUCCCUGUCUCUGGACAAAUAAGGUGACUUGUGCUUCAUAGCCAUCAGACUCUGGGCUCUCACUGUACAGUGGGGGUCUUGAGGUGGGUGUGUGAGACACUGUGGUGGAGCAGUU